UUACACAUGCAAGUCGAGCGGCAGCGCGGGGGCAACCCUGGCGGCGAGCGGCGAACGGGUGAGUAAUGCAUCGGAACGUGUCCUCUUGUGGGGGAUAACCAGUCGAAAGACUGGCUAAUACCGCAUGAGAUCGAGAGAUGAAAGCAGGGGACCGCAAGGCCCUGCGCGAGAGGAGCGGCCGAUGCCGGAUUAGCUAGUUGGUGGGGUAACGGCCUACCAAGGCGACGAUCCGUAGCUGGUCUGAGAGGACGACCAGCCACACUGGGACUGAGACACGGCCCAGACUCCUACGGGAGGCAGCAGUGGGGAAUUUUGGACAAUGGGGGCAACCCUGAUCCAGCCAUGCCGCGUGUGUGAAGAAGGCCUUCGGGUUGUAAAGCACUUUCGGACGGAACGAAAUCGCGCGGGUUAAUAGUCCGCGUGGAUGACGGUACCGUAAGAAGAAGCACCGGCUAACUACGUGCCAGCAGCCGCGGUAAUACGUAGGGUGCGAGCGUUAAUCGGAAUUACUGGGCGUAAAGUGUGCGCAGGCGGCUCUGCAAGUCGAGUGUGAAAUCCCCGAGCUUAACUUGGGAAUUGCGCUCGAAACUACGGAGCUGGAGUGUGGCAGAGGAAGGUGGAAUUCCACGUGUAGCGGUGAAAUGCGUAGAUAUGUGGAGGAACACCGAUGGCGAAAGCAGCCUUCUGGGCCAACACUGACGCUCAUGCACGAAAGCGUGGGGAGCAACAGAUAGAUACCCUGGUAGUCCACGCCCUAACGAUGAUGACUAGUUGUUGGAGGAGUAAAUCCUUUAGUACGCAGCUACGCGUGAGUCAUCCCCUGGGGAGUACGUCGCAGAUAAACUC
rnacentral:rRNA from 1 species